UACACACAGGACUUCCACAACCAGGUAUUUGGUCUCUCUUAGAAAUGGCCAAACCUUCUUGCAACUUUAACCAUUACCAUACCUUAACCGCCACCUGUCUUCCUCACAGCAACCCAGAAUUGAGCCCAAUCAGCCCUGGGAUUCCUCUAACGUUAUAAUUAUAUGCACUUUCCUCCAGUCUUGUGGCACAUUAUGCACCUUAUGCGCCAGUGAUAAUGGCAGGAAUUAUCCUUGAACAUCAACGUCUAAUGAAAAAGAAAACAUGGUUACAUGGCCAAAUGGCUGUAUCUAAUUCUUUUCCCAUUUUAAUUUCAACCUUUUGUGGAUUUCAUCCAUUAUAAUUUCCUA